rnacentral:rRNA from 1 species
CGUUGCCUGCACCUGCCGGCGACCGGCGCACGGGUGAGUAACACGUAUGGAACCUGCCCGCCACAGGGGGAUAACCCGGGGAAACCCGGCCUAAUACCCCAUGCCGCCCGGACCGGGCAUCCGGUCCGGGCGAAAGGAGGAAUCCGGUGGCGGCUGGGCAUGCGGCGCAUUAGCUUGACGGCGGGGUAACGGCCCACCGUGGCGACGAUGCGUAGGGGUUCUGAGAGGAACGGCCCCCCACACUGGAACUGAGACACGGUCCAGACUCCUACGGAAGGCAGCAG